rnacentral:lncRNA from 1 species
CAGGACUUUUCACAGAAAGGGAUUCAGCAGCUUGCCUGAGACUGACCCAGUUUUAGCACAGCAAGCCCAGAGCCCGGAGAAAUGCCUCAGACCCAGUCAAGUCAAGCAGCUGGUCGCCCAAGAAAGCAUGUGAAGAGACUCUAGCACCCUGGCAGUCAACAGCCAUGCAAGCGUAUACAAUGACCUCCACGCGGAAAAUGAUUCCACCGAUACCAGUGACUCCAUUAGUGACAGUGGAAGUCAUUCUACACAGCCCUUCUCUCUCAUCUCCCUCACACAAGCCACGAUGAUUUUCAAAGGCAGAUGGCCUAUGAUCUCAACUGACCUGAAGCAGGCCACCACAGAACUACCAAACCUGGGGGCCAGCCAUCCAAGCAGAGCAACUCUGGGGAAUAAAGAUAUCUGGAGAAGGCCUUCUCCCCCAC